rnacentral:rRNA from 1 species
UACGUAGGGGGCGAGCGUUGUCCGGAAUCAUUGGGCGUAAAGAGCGUGUAGGCGGCUUGGCAAGUCUGACGUGAAAGCCCGCGGCUCAACCGCGGAUUGUCGUUGGAAACCGUCUGGCUAGAGUCCGGAAGAGGAGAGUGGAAUUCCUGGUGUAGCGGUGAAAUGCGCAGAUAUCAGGAAGAACACCUAUGGCGAAGGCAGCUCUCUGGGACGGUACUGACGCUGAGACGCGAAAGCGUGGGGAGCGAACAGG